rnacentral:rRNA from 1 species
GACGUAGGGCGCGAGCGUUGUCCGGAUUUAUUGGGCGUAAAGAGCUCGUAGGCGGCUUGUUGCGUCGGCUGUGAAAACCCAUGGCUCAACCGUGGGCUUGCAGCCGAUACGGGCAGGCUGGAGUUCGGUAGGGGAGACUGGAAUUCCUGGUGUAGCGGUGAAAUGCGCAGAUAUCAGGAGGAACACCGGUGGCGAAGGCGGGUCUCUGGGCCGAAACUGACGCUGAGGAGCGAAAGCGUGGGGAGCGAACAGG